rnacentral:misc_RNA from 1 species
GAUGAAGAACGCAGCGAAAUGCGAUACUUGGUGUGAAUUGCAGAAUCCCGUGAACCAUCGAGUUUUUGAACGCAAGUUGCGCCCGAAGCCAUUAGGUUGAGGGCACGUCUGCCUGGGCGUCACAUAUCGUUGCCUGAUGCCAGUUUCCUCGUGAUGGGUGACUGUGCAGGGCGAAUGAUGGCUUCCCGUGAGCAUUGUUGCCUCAUGGUUGGUUGAAAAUUGAGUCCUUGGUAGGGAGCGCCGUGAUAGAUGGUGGUUGAGUGACGAACGAGACCCAAUCAUGUGAGACCCCUACCGAAUUUGGCCUUCAUGACCCACAUGCGUCUUUGGAACGCUCAUGACGAGACCUCAGGUCAGGCGGGGCUACCCGCUGAGUUUAAGCAUAUCAAUAAGCGGAGGA